CAAACGACUCUCGGCAACGGAUAUCUCGGCUCACGCAUCGAUGAAGAACGUAGCAAAAUGCGAUACUUGGUGUGAAUUGCAGAAUCCCGUGAACCAUCGAGUUUUUGAACGCAAGUUGCGCCCGAAGCCAUCCGGCUAAGGGCACGCCUGCCUGGGCGUCACGC
rnacentral:rRNA from 1 species